rnacentral:rRNA from 1 species
GAUGAACGCUGGCGGCGUGCCUAACACAUGCAAGUCGAACGAACAGACGAUGAGCUUGUUCCUUUGUCGUUAGCGGCGGACGGGUGUGUAACGCGUGUAUCACCCACUUCUCUGUCUGGGAUAAUCUCGUGAAACCGGCUCUUAUACCGGAUAACAUGCUGAACCGCAUUGUUCAUCAGUGAAUGUCGGUCUUGCUGUCUCUUAUCGCUGCUUCCGCGCUGCAUUAGCUAGUUGGUAAGGUAACGGCUUACCAAGGCGACGAUGCGUAGACGAGCUGAGAGGAUGAUCGGCCACACUGGAACUGAGACACGGUCAAGACUCCUACGGGAGGCAGCAGUAGGGAAUAUUGGGCAAUGGGCGAAAGCCUGACGGAGCAAGGCCGCGUGAGUGAAGAAGGUCUUCGGAUCGUAAAGAUCUGUUAUUGGGGAAGAACAGAUGUGGAAGUAAAUAAGGACGUCUUGACGGUACCUAAUCAAGAAGCAACGGCUAACUACGUG